rnacentral:rRNA from 1 species
AGUGAACGCUGGCGGUAGGCCUAACACAUGCAAGUCGAACGGCAGCACAGUAAGAUCUUUCUCCUACGGGUGGCGAGUGGCGGACGGGUGAGGAAUACAUCGCAAUCUACUUUUUCGUGGGGGAUAACGUAGAGAAACUGACGCUAAUACCGCAUACGACCUACGGCUGAAAGCAGUGGAGCUUCGGACUUUGCGCGAUUGAUUGAGCCGGCGUCGGAUUAGCUAGUUGGCGUGGUAAGGGCCCACCAAGGCGACGAUGCGUAGCCGAGCUGAGAGGAUGAUCAGGCACACUGGAACUGAGACACGGUCCAGACUCCUACGGGAGGGAGCAGUAGGGAAUCUUCGGCAAAGGGCGAAAGCCUGACGGAGCAACGCCGCGUGAGUGAAGAAGGGCUUCGGGUCGUAAAACUCUUUUUUUAGGGAAGAAAAAAUGUGUAAGUAACUACCCGCGUCUUGACGGGACCCAAACAGAAAGCCACGGCUAAAUUCGUG